CCAGGCAGCCACCACGCAAGGACGCAGCAGCAGCAUCGGGCGACGCUUGAUGCUUCCCACACCAAAAACGCAGCGAUUUUCUUUUUAGCCGGAGCUGAAACUCACGGGAUUGCAAUCGAUACACCAGCAGCACUGCCGGGAGACCGUAACCACGGCAACGGACCGAAAAGCAAAGGAUGCUGCGGACCAGCCCCGGCUCCCCCCGGUAGCAGGAGGAGGUCAGAACAGCUCAGUGAGCAGCACGCACUACUGGGAAGGGCUGGGAGCUGCUCUCUGCUCAGAAACAAGAUUUUCUCAUGUUUCACAAAGAAGAAGCUACAGCUCGGCAAACGUUUCAAGUUAACGUUAAGGGUUACAACUGCAAAACGAGUUCUACCUUUACUGCACUAGCAGAAGAGUUUCCAUGGGCAGAGCAUCUGCGUUAUAUUUUUCCUACAGUGCAGAUUCCCUCAUCCCUUAGGAGUCUGUCAUGAAACUGUUCUGCCACACCCCACACAAGAAAGCCAGCCACCAUUUUUCAGAUGGACUGAAGGUUUCCAGCACCACACUGAGGAAAAAGGUGAAUUACACUGGAAACAAACUCCAAAACCUGUAGCUACAGACAGCAGCUAAAUAAAGUGAAAUACAACGC